UUCCGGUUGAUCCCGCCAGACCUGACUGCUAUCGGAUUGAUACUAAGCCAUGCGAGUCUUUGUAGUAAUACAAGGCAGACGGCUCAGUAACACGUAGUCAACCUACCCUAUGGACGAGAAUAAUCUCGGGAAAUUGAGCAUAAUCCUUGAUAGAUCAUAAUGCCUGGAAUGGUUUAUGGUUAAAAUGAUUCGUCGCCAUAGGAUGGGACUGCGGCCUAUCAGCUUGUUGGUGAGGUAAUGGCCCACCAAGGCGAUUACAGGUACGGGCUCUGAGAGGAGAAGCCCGGAGAUGGGUACUGAGACACGGACCCAGGCCCUAUGGGGCGCAGCAGGCGAGAAAACUUUGCAAUGUGCGAAAGCACGACAAGGUUAAUCCGAGUGAUUUCUGCUAAAGAAAUCUUUUGCCAGUCGUAAAACCGCUGGUGAAUAAGGGGUGGGCAAGUUCUGGUGCCAGCAGCCGCGGUAAU
rnacentral:rRNA from 1 species